AUGCACUGCUGCCCUGGAGCGCUUUCACAUGAACACAGUGCAGGAGGUUGUCAGCAGAGGAAAGACCUACCUCCAAAUAAUACUAUUAAAAGCAGGACUGCUGAUCUCACCUUGGAAUUGAAUCAGAAAAACCACACUCUAUUCUACCAUGAAGGAUGUUCCCAGCAGAGUACUCCAGCUGCAGCCUUUGCAUACUUCUGUAGGCCACCAGACCAGAUGGUUAAGUAUGCAUCCUCGAUGGAACCGCUGAGCUAAAGCCAGCCCUGCAUACUUCUGGAUGUUAGAAGAUAUUCUGUUGCUAGAUGAAAACAUUUUGUAUUUUCCCAACUAGGAAAAAGUAUACUCACACAUAAGAAAUCAUCUCUUGCUUUACAAAUGCAAAAUAAAUUAUUUGAGUGUUUCUGUGUUAGACUUUUUCUUUUUUAGCUUAGGCAAAACAUUACAUCUUUUGAAAAAUGUAUUUAGCAGAAUUUAAGUCCUGUACCUGCUUUCCUGAAAAUAAAGCACAGAAGUGCAGAGGAUCCCCUGAGACCUCAGGUUUUGUGCCAAAUAUUUAGGAAGGUCAAAAGUUUACCUUUAAAGAUUAGAAUUCAACACAGAAAACAUAUCCAGUUGUCAGACAUCUCCUUUUAAUUUACAGUAAAGCUAUACAACAUAGCAAAACUCCCAUUUUAUCUUAAAGAACUUUACAUCAUGCAAACUUCAAAGUAAAAAAAUAAAAAGCCAGGCAUGGUGGUACACGCCUGUAAUCCCAGCACUCCGGAGGCUGAUGCAGGAGGAUCAUAGAGAGUUUCAGGCCACCCUGGGCUACAAAGUGAGCUCAAGGCCAGCCUGAACUGUAUAGCAAGACCCUGUCUUAAAGAAAAUUUAAAAAAAUUUUAAGAAAUCAUUCUAAGUCCUAGUGUAAAUCAUGAGCCUCCUUAGACUCAAGCAUCAGAAAAUAAAGUUUUACAUUUUUCUAGUCUUUCUAGAAGUGUAGUAUUUUUGUCUGACAGAUUUAAGUCCAUGAUAGACAAAAUCUGCUUCGAGGAACACAUUUCUUUUUGCUCCAUGGAACCCCGUUCCCAGCCACAAGGAACACACUUUUUUUUGGUGGUUGGCGGUUCCAGGAAUCAAAACUCAGGACCUUGUGCUUGCUAGGCAGGCGCUAUGCCGCUGAGCCAUAUCCCCAGCCCAGAACACUUUUUGAUCUGGUAAUGGAAAAUGGUCCUAACAUUUUCAGUGGUCCGAAGAAGGGCGUCUCUGCACUGACGGGGUUCUCGCCACUCAGUGUUUUUGUGCCUGUUUGCUGUAGCCCCUCUUCCAGGGUCACAGACCUGCUGACACUCAUCGCAAGCCUGGCCUCCAGAUCGCCCGCGCCCAUACUGCCUGCCCUCCUUGAACCCCGCAUCGCAGUCUGUGCGAGUGAUCCUGCCUUCGAGUUCUGAUGAAAUGCAGGGCAUCUUCUGCCUCAGGCCUUGAGGAGUACCCCACAAAACAGAAGCCGCAUGCCAUUGUCUUCAUUUUAUCCAACCCCAUUAAUGAUCUUUUUUAUGCCACCACUUUUGCUGAAGUGUUCAUAAAUCUGUUCUUAAAUUGUGUAAAAGGAAAGAAUUCCAACAUACACUGCAUAACUUUUCUUCAGUAAUUUUUCUUGUUCUUUAUUGUCAUCUCAGAAGUGCUGGUCCAGCUGGGCGAGGUGGCGCACGCCUGUAAUCCCAGCACUCGGGAGGCUGAGGCAGGCGGAUCUUUGUGAGUUCGGGACAAGCCUGGGCUACAAAGUGAGCUCAAGGCCAGCCUGAACUGCAUAGCGAGACUCUGUCUCAAAAAGACAAAAAAAAGGAAAGGAAAAAAAAAAGAACUGCUGGUCUGGAUACUGCCUCAGCUCCACAUAGGGGGAGUCGUUGUGCAGCACCUUUAAGAGGCCACUCUGACGUGAGGCUAAGAAGUAAAAGCCCCCUCCUAAACAGCCCGAGGCCAGCCUUCUUGUCAAUGCCUCAGGAUAUGAGGAAAGUACUCUACCCCUGAGGUAUAUUCCCAAUGCAGAGCCUAGUAAUAACAUGUAAGACAUCUGAGAACUUUUCUUUUAUCAGGAUAACCAGGGAGGUCUGGAAUUCUUGGCCAUUAUGUUGGAAUAAUCCAAGAUAUGGAUAGAGACAGUAUAGUAUACACUAAAACAAGGUCACUGAAAAGUGCACCGUAGAGGCCAAAGCUCUGUGUUUAACUCCUCCUCUGCUACUGAUUAACAGUGUGAGCAAAGGUGCAAAUGAAAACAAGGUUAGGACUGGGGUGCAGCUCAGCAUUUGUAAGGACUAGAUUCAAGGCCUAAGGGAGAGGGAGGGAGAGAGAGAGAGGGAGAGAGAGAGACAGAGACAGAGACAGAGAGACAGGGAGAGACAGAGAGAGGGAUUUAUUAAUAAUCUCAUAAACCUUGAACACA
rnacentral:lncRNA from 1 species